GACGAACGCUGGCGGCGUGCCUAAUACAUGCAAGUCGAACGCAGUGGGGACGGGGGAGUAACACGUGGGUAACCUCCCAUCAGAGGGGAUAAACCUUGGCAACAGGUGCUAAACCGAUACUGAUGGAUGGACACGCGGUGCAUUAGCUAGUUGGUGAGGUAACGGCUCACCAAGGCCACGAGUCAUAGCCGACCUUAGAGGUUGAUCUGCCACACUGGGACUGAGACACGGCCCAGACUCCUACGGGAGGCAGCAGUAGGGAAUCUUCGGCAAUGGACGAAAGUCUGACCGAGCAACGCCGCGUGAGUUAAGAAGGUUUUCGGAUCGUAAACCUCUUUUGUUAGAGAAGCGGUAUCUAACCAGAAAGCCACGGCUAACUACGUGCCAACAGCCGCGGUAAUAC
rnacentral:rRNA from 1 species